CAGGAUCAUGCGACCAGCGUAUCCCGUGGCGAUGCGGAGUGAUGGGGAGGUGGUGGCAAGGGUGGAAAUGCCUGGGAGAAAGAGACUUGAACAAUCUGCAGUAAUUACAGACUCAAUAAUGAAGAAUUGACUGAAUUUUCUUUUGAAAGACUCAGAAAGCCAUGGUUUCAGAGAAUCAUUAAAAUCACGCAAUAAUUAAAUGUUAUUGACAACAUAAAUUCCAUGGGGUAAAAUAUGUUUGGAACACCAGCUCAGUUCCAUAUUCCUCGUUCAAUAAAAGGAUUGUACCAUA